UUGCUACUCCCUCCGUCUCAAAAUUCUUGUCUUAGAUUUGUCUAUAUAUGAAUGUAUCUAGUCAUGUUUUAGUAUUCAGAUACAUUCAUUUUUAGACAAACCUAAGACAAGUAUUUUGAGGCGGAGGGAGUAUAUU
rfam:Hordeum vulgare subsp. vulgare, WGS project CAJW01000000 data, contig: morex_contig_42328